ensembl:snRNA U6 U6 spliceosomal RNA
GUGCUCAGUUUGGCAGAACAUAUACUAAAAUUGAAAUGAUACAGCGAUAAUUAACAUGGACUGUGUGCAAGGAUGACUCACAAAUCUGUGAAGUAUUCCUUAUUUUA